GAUGAACGCUGGCGGCGUGCCUAAUACAUGCAAGUCGAGCGAACAGACGAGGAGCUUGCUCCUCUGACGUUAGCGGCGGACGGGCGAGUAACACGUGGAUAACCUACCUAUAAGACUGGGAUAACUUCGGGAAACCGGAGCUAGUACCGGAUAAUAUAUUGAACCGCAUGGUUCAAUAGUGAAAGACGGUUUUGCUGUCACUUAUAGAUGGAUCCGCGCCGCAUUAGCUAGUUGGUAAGGUAACGGCUUACCAAGGCAACGAUGCGUAGCCGACCUGAGAGGGUGAUCGGCCACACUGGAACUGAGACACGGUCCAGACUCCUACGGGAGGCAGCAGUAGGGAAUCUUCCGCAAUGGGCGAAAGCCUGACGGAGCAACGCCGCGUGAGUGAUGAAGGUCUUCGGAUCGUAAAACUCUGUUAUUAGGGAAGAACAAAUGUGUAAGUAACUAUGCACGUCUUGACGGUACCUAAUCAGAAAGCCACGGCUAACUACGUG
rnacentral:rRNA from 1 species